GAUGAACGCUGGCGGCGUGCCUAAUACAUGCAAGUCGAGCGAACGGACGAGAAGCUUGCUUCUCUGAUGUUAGCGGCGGACGGGUGAGUAACACGUGGAUAACCUACCUAUAAGACUGGGAUAACUUCGGGAAACCGGAGCUAAUACCGGAUAAUAUUUUGAACCGCAUGGUUCAAAAGUGAAAGACGGUCUUGCUGUCACUUAUAGAUGGAUCCGCGCUGCAUUAGCUAGUUGGUAAGGUAACGGCUUACCAAGGCAACGAUGCAUAGCCGACCUGAGAGGGGGUGGGCCCCCACGGGAGGUUGAACCGGGACCGGCCCCCUCGGGGAGGAGCCAGUGGGGAUUCUUCGGAAGGGGGGGAAAGCCUGACGGAGCAGCCCCGUGUGAGUAUUGAAGUUUUUGGGAUCGUAAACCUCUUUUAUGGGGGAAAAAAAUAUGUAGAAGUAACUGUCCACUUCUUGACGGUACCUAAUAAGAAGCCCCCGCCUAACUACGUC
rnacentral:rRNA from 1 species